GCCAAGGAAGGGUUAACCAGCCAAGUUCCAGGCUAACACAGGAGAUUAUAGAAUGUUUAUCUAGUAUUCAGAUUUCCUGUUUAAAUGUUUGGAUUUCCUGAAAUCUAUCAGUCUGAAGGGUGUCCAGUACGUGGCCUUUUCCGCCCCUUCUUUUCAGCUCACAUGGGUGGACUUCCCUUCCCAACUGUAUUUCUGUCUCCUCACCAGCCAAGAUUUUCAUGGAUGAAAAUCAAAACGUUUUAGGCACCCCCAGAAAAUAUUUCUGGAUCCCUGGCCUUUGGGAUGUGCUUUGUUUUAAUCUAGCGAGCAAAUAAUCACAACAAAAAUUCCUGGGAAUUUCCUAUUGGUGCAACGUGCCUUUUUUUUUUCCCCUUUUCUCUCUUUUUUUUCCCAGCUCCGUGUUGGAAAAUAAUUUUAGCCCUUUCAAGACAAUGGAAUGAUGGCCUUCCUUUUGGCAUGCUCUUCUGGAAUGGGACUUCAAACAGGACGAGUCUUGGUAAUUUUCUUCUGUUGAGACAUGAGAUCUUCAGCUUCCAGAUUGUCCAGCUUCUCUUCAAGGGAUUCAUUAUGGAAUCGGAUCAUGCCGGACCAGAUCACUGUGUCGGAGUUUAUUGUUGAGACCACGGAAGAUUACAAUUCCCCAACGACCUCCAGUUUUACCACCCGGCUACAGAACUGCAGGAACACCGUCACGCUGCUAGAAGAGGCUUUAGAUCAGGACAGAACUGCACUACAAAAAGUGAAAAAAUCUGUAAAAGCAAUAUAUAACUCUGGGCAAGAACAUAUCCAAAAUGAAGAAAGCUAUGCACAAGUACUAGAUAAAUUUGGAAGUAAUUUCUUAAGUAGAGAUAAUCCAGACCUGGGAACUGCUUUUGUAAAGUUUUCCACGCUAACUAAGGAAUUGUCAACACUGCUUAAAAAUCUGGUAAGAUUUAAUUUUCUCUCCCUUAAGGAUCUGAAAAAGCCUUUCGAUAAAGCCUGGAAGGAUUAUGAGACCAAAUUCACGAAGAUUGAAAAGGAAAAAAGGGAACACGCCAAACAACAUGGGAUGAUACGAACAGAGAUCACUGGAGCUGAGAUAGCAGAAGAAAUGGAGAAAGAGAGAAGGUUGUUUCAGCUCCAGAUGUGUGAAUAUCUCAUUAAGGUUAAUGAAAUCAAGACGAAAAAGGUAUAUUUUUUUCAGCUCUUCAUCUGCAGUGUGGUUUUUUUUUAUUUAAAAGGCUUUUUCUCUUCAGGGAUGACAUCACCUAUAAAACAGACACAAGAUGAAGAAAAGAAGCAACUUACUGCAUUGAGGGACUUGAUAAAAUCCUCUUUGCAACUUGACCAAAAAGAGGAUUCACAGAGCCGGCAAGGAGGUUACAGCAUGCAUCAACUUCAGGGAAAUAAAGAGUUUGGCAGUGAGAAGAAAGGAUACCUUUUAAAGAAAAGCGAUGGCAUACGGAAAGUUUGGCAGAGAAGAAAAUGCACAGUUAAAAAUGGCAUCCUGACCAUUUCACAUGCAACUUCAAACAGGCAACCUGCUAAAUUAAAUCUGCUUACAUGCCAAGUGAAACCAAACGCUGAAGACAAGAAAUCAUUUGACCUGAUAUCACAUAACAGAACAUAUCACUUUCAGGCAGAGGAUGAGCAAGAUUAUGUCGCGUGGAUAUCAGUACUGACCAACAGCAAAGAAGAAGCUUUAAAUAUGAGAUUGGCUGGAAAUGAUGUCUGUUGUGACUGCGGAUCACCAGAUCCAACUUGGCUUUCUACUAACCUGGGCAUUUUAACCUGUAUAGAGUGUUCCGGAAUACACAGAGAAAUGGGUGUUCAUAUUUCUCGAAUCCAAUCUCUAGAACUGGACAAGUUAGGAACAUCUGAACUCUUGCUGGCCAAGAAUAUAGGAAAUAAUAGUUUUAAUGACAUUAUGGAGGGAAACUUACCGACUCCGUCUCCAAAACCCACUCCAUCGAGUGAUAUGACUGCCCGCAAAGAAUUUAUUACUGCUAAAUAUGUAGAUCAUAAGUACUCCAGAAAGACCUGUGCAUCAUCAGCGGCUAAACUGAAUGAACUACUAGAGGCUGUUCGAUCCAGGGAUUUACUUGCACUACUUCAAGUCUAUGCAGAAGGAGUUGAACUGAUGGAGCCACUCUUAGAACCUGGACAGGAGCCAGGCGAAACUGCUCUUCAUUUAGCAGUCCGAACUGCUGAUCACACAUCACUCCAUCUGAUCGACUUCCUUGUACAAAACUGUGGAAACCUGGAUAAGCAAACCGUGUUGGGGAAUACAGUUCUACAUUAUUGCAGUAUAUAUAACAAACCAGAGUGUUUGAAGUUGGCGACAUUUCUGAAUUACGUGUUAUUUCAGCUUUCCCAGGCCAAAGUGGGGAAACUAAAUCCACACGUUCACGUCGAAUACGAGUGGAACCUUCGGCAGGAAGAAAUGGAUGAAAGUGACGAUGACUUAGAUGACAAGGUAAAGAAGAAUUGGGGGGGUGGGGUUUACAGUGGCCCUAUGAAGUUGCCAACGGCAUUGAAAAAAAGUGAUUUACGACCAUUUUUCACACUUAUGACCCUUCUCAAAUGGCACCUGUUUGUUUUUGUUAUUCAGGGGAAGAAUAAAGUCAAGAGGGUGAAGACAAUCUACGAUUGCCAAGCAGAUAACGAUGAUGAGCUUACGUUUGUGGAAGGCGAAAUUAUUAUUGUAACCGGAGAGGAGGAUCAGGAGUGGUGGAUCGGCCACAUUGAAGGAAAGCCGGAACGGAAAGGAGUCUUCCCUGUCUCCUUCGUCCACAUUUUAUCAGACUAACUCCAGCCAGAAACUUGAGUAUUGCACAUUGUUCCUGCAAGUCAGGCUUUAAGCACGAAGCAAGACAGCUGCUGCAUCCCUGUAAUUCUGUGCAUAAUUGUGGAUAUUGAUGUAUAUAUAUAUAACUGCUGUUAACAAGGCGAGAACUCGGUCCUGCCCGUACGAAGGGCUCGUCAUACCUGUAAUUGUAUAUAGAAGGUGUUCCUUUGCCAUUGCCAGUAUUAUGGUCAUUGUCGGAGCUGGCAUGCCUUAUUGGGUUGCUCAAGCCAUUCUUGGCAUCAAGCACUUACAAAAAACUGUCCGUGUGUAUGAACUGCCAGCUUUCUAACUAAACUGUUAGUCCCAUUCACUCCCAUUCAGCUGAACAGAAUUUACCGUCCCUAAUAAUACAUCAGUAUUCUCGGAAGCAGAUAGCUAGCAGCAGUUUCUCUUUCCCCCAAAGGAACGGCUGAUGUCCGUCAAUGGCUACCCAACUUGCACCAUUGACAGCUUGUGAAAUCCUCUUCCUUGGUAUUCAUUUAGAAAAUAUAUAUAUAUAUACAUAUAUCUAUGUGUCCGAUGUAUCCAUCCAACAAACAGAAAUAUGCACUAAUGCUACAGGUAAAAAAAAAAACAGUAGAAUUUUUUUAUGGUGGUAGGCCACAUGUUCAUGUUUGUACUCUGUAACUUUGGUCUUUGACCUCACUGGGCUGCCAUCUCAAUGUCUUCAAUAAAAAUGAAUUCAAUCUCA
rnacentral:lncRNA from 1 species